AUGUACAGAAUGGGGAAAAAAGGCGGAAGCUUUGGUUAAAAGCCUUGAAACGAGUGGAUUUAACGAAGCCAAAGUAAAGUAUUCCUAUAUUUGUUCGGAUUAUUUUAUUUUAGGUAAACCUGCAGAUUUGUCGGAUGUGGACCAGCCUGAUUAUGUUCCAUCACAAAAUUUAGGAUAUCAAAAUAAAUUCACUCAUAAUACUUGUAAUGUUGAAAGACACAGUCGUUUAAAAAAGAGAAAACUGAAUAAAUGCCUCUAGACUUUUGAA